ACCACAGCUCUUACGUGUGUGCUUUCCUUUGCAGGCUUGGAAAGAUUUUGGAGAUUGAAGAGGUUGUAGAGGCUCUGAUGGAAGGAAUAGUGACCAACCAGAAAAUGGUUUUUGUUCCAUCAAAUCAGAGUGUUGCUUUACUGCUUGAAAGAGUGUUUCCAGAACGUGCCCUGAAUGUUCUGAAGAAGAUGACCGAUGUCAAGUUUGAUGCAAUCAUUGGGCAGGGAAGCACCCAGU